UUUAUAUUUCUUUUCAUCUAUUUAUUGUUUUUAAUUAAUCUUUUAUAUUUUAUUUGUUAUUUUUUUAUAUUUAAUUUAUUUGAACUAAUCAUUAAUUUUAAUGUUUUUUUUUAUUUUUUAGGUUUAGGUGGGUCUCGAUGCGUAGUCACCUCCUCGUCGGUGAGACUCGGUAAUUGGCAUCGCUUUCAAAAAUCUUAUAUCACAAAAUUUAUUUCAUUAAAAAGUUUUCGAAAUAUUUCAAAAUAAAAUCUAUAUAUAUCAAAUAUAUUUCAUCAAUGAUAGUGUGUGGAAAGCGAUGGCAAGCUAAGAACUACGCACAUCUGCAGUCCAGUAUAAACUUUGUAUAAUUUAUUUAAUUAUUUUGAUUUUAAUUUUUAAUUAAUUAAACUGGACUGCAGAUAUUAGUUAUAAGUUAAUGUAAUAUAUAUAUUGGAUUAAAUUUAUUGUAAUAAGUGCGUUUCCGUUUAUUACAAUAAGUAUCAAAAUAUACUUCCUAAUUUAAAGCGAAAAAUAAAAAUUUUUAAUUUUCUUAUUCUUUUUUUAUAUUUUUUUUAUAUUCUCGAUUAUUUUAAUCUCAUGUCAUGCAACGGUGGUAGGAGUUGUUGGGCCGAUGCUCUACUUCCGGUGGCCAGUUAAGGGUCCGCGCUCUGAUUAGUAUCUUCGAGUACUCAAUUAGAGUUAGGUCUUGUGGUAGAACGUCGUCUUUGUAAUCCUAUGGUGGUCAGGGAUUUAUGCCUUGCUCCUUCCUGUGUUGUUGGGACAUAAGGCGUUCAACUAUUAGGCCGUUGUCGUAACCCUCGAUUGGUCACUGGUGAGUAUCAUCUGUCCAUCGAUUUUCGUAAAUCCAUUGAUAUAAGUCGUAAUAUGAGAGCGACAAAGAGGGUUGAUUUUUCAUCAAUCACGUAUCUUUAUUCUUCUUUUAAUGUUUCUUUUUAUGUUUUAGUAUAAAUUAAUAAUAUUUUGAAUUUUUAUUUUUUUUGCUUUAAGUUAGACGAGAGUAUUCUUGAUACGAAUAAUUAUUAAUUAUUAAUAAAAAUGUUAUGUAUUAUAAAUUAUAGGUUUAAGAUUUUAAAAUAUAGUUUAAGUUAGUUUUAUAAGCUAUCAUCGUGCGAUUAAUUAGCGAGCGAAUGUAAAAAACUUUUGUAAAAAUCGUUGUAAAGAUCCAUUAUACAUUAAUUCAAAUAAUUAUGUCAUUUCAUUAAUGUAUUUACAAUUAAUAAAUAUUUCUUUUAUAUUUCUUUUAAUAUAUUUAUGUAUAGCUAUUAAUUAAUCUUUUAUAUUUUAUUUGUUAUUUUUCAUAUUUAAUUUAUUUGAAUUAAUCAUUAAUUUUAAUGUUUUUUCUUACUUUUAACCUUAGGUGGGUUUCGAUGCAUAGUUACCCACCUCCUCGUCGAUGUAACCCGCAAUCUGCAGUCCAGUAAACUUUAUAUAAUUCAUUUAAUUAUUUUGAUUUUUAAUUUUUAAUUAAUUAAAUUGGACUGCAGAUAUUAGUUAUAAGUUAAUGUAUUAUAUGUAUUAGAUUAAAUUUAUUGUAAUAAGUGCGUUCCCGUUUAUUGUAAUAAGUAUCAAGAUAUACUCUCUAAUUUAAAGCGAAAAAUAAAAAUUUUUAAUUUUCUUAUUCUUUUUUUAUAUUUUUUUUAUAUUCUCGAUUAUUUUAAUCUCAUAUUAUGCAACGGUGGUAGGAGUUGUUGGGCCGAUGCUCUACUUCCGGUGGCCAGUUAAGGGUCCGCGCUCUGAUUAGUAUCUUCUAGUACUCAAUUAGAGUUAGGUCUUGUGGUAGAACGUCGUCUUUGUAAUCCUAUGGUGGUCAGGGAUUUAUGCCUUGCUCCUUCCUGUGUUGUUGGGACAUAAGGCGUUCAACUAUUAGGCCGUUGUCGUAACCCUCGAUUGGUCACUGGUGAGUAUCAUCCGUCCAGCGACUUUCGUCCACCGAUGUAAGUCGUGACAUGAGGGCGAUAGAGAAGAUUAAUUUUUUAAGUUUUUUCUUCUUUUUCAUCAAUCAUCGGACUUUAGAUGUUUUUUAAUACUUUUUAUUCUUUUGGAUCGCAUUUGAUACGUUUUUGAACAUUUGUAUUUUAAAUGCUCUUUAUAUUGUAAUUUUGUUUAUUAGUAAUGAUUAAUAUUUUUAAUUUUACUUUCUUCGCUUUAAAUUAGAUGAUAGUAUUUUUGAUACUGAUUCUAUGUUAAUAGAAAUGUUAUAUAUAUUUUGGAUUUAGUAUUAACAUGUUAUUAUUUAGAUAAUUUAAGAUAACUUAAUAUCUCGAUGGACAAUAUGGGACAACAUGGGACAACAUAAGAUGACGAUGGACAACAUAAGAUGACGAUGGACAACGGGGAACGACGUUGGACAAUGUAUGACAACUUGGAAUGACCUUGGAUGACGAUGGACAACAUGAGACUUAAUUUUCAAUUUUAUUAUAUAUUUCUUAUAAUAUAUACAUAUAUAGUACAAAUAGUACAAUAGUACAAAGCGAAAAAUGUAAAAAAUUUCUGCAAUAAUUUUUAUAAAAAUUUAUUGCAUGUUUAUUAAUUUAUGUUAUUAAUCUUUAUUUUGUGUUUCAGAUUUGUUUAAUUUUUAUAUAACAUUUUUUUAAUGUAUUUUGUUUUGUAUUAUUGUAUUUUUUGUAUUAUUUAAUGUAUUUCUUAGCUUUAUUGCAUGUUUAUUAAUUUAUGUUAUUAAUAUUUAUUUUGUGUUUCAGAUUUGUUUAAUUUUUAUAUAACAUUUUUUAAUGUAUUUUGUUUUGUAUUAUUGUAUUUUUUGUAUUAUUUAAUGUAUUUCUUAGCUUUAUUGCAUGUUUAUUAAUUUAUGUUAUUAAUCUUUAUUUUGUGUUUCAGAUUUGUUUAAUUUUUAUAUAACAUUUUUUUAAUGUAUUUUGUUUUGUAUUAUUGUAUUUUUUGUAUUAUUUAAUGUAUUUCUUAGUUUUAGGUCUCGAUGAGUAAUUAUCUCUUCAUCGGUGGUAAUUAACAUCGCUUUCCAAACUUUUUAUUCUUCAAAAAUCUUUCAUUCUUCAAAAAUUCUUCAAAAUUCUUUUCUCAUUUCUAUGGGAAUUGGAAUCCUUUUCUCAAUUUUAUUUUUAUGUUUUAUAAUUCGUUAUUUUCGUCGCUUUUUGGCGUCACUGUGAAUCAUCACAAAAAAUUGUAAGAUUUCAUCGGACUGAUGUUCUACUUUCGGUGGUCAGUCGAAGGUCCGCGCUCUGAUCGAUUGAUAUCUUUGUAUAUUUGAUCAGAGAUAGGUCCUGUAUAUUAAAUGUCGUCUUCGGUAAUUCGACUUCAGUGGUUUUAGAAAGAUUUUAGUUCCUUCCUGUAAGUCGUUAGGACUAUGUCUUGGUAAUUCGGCUCAGGUGGUCCUGAAAUGAUUUCUAAUUCCUUCUCGUGGUCGUUGUGGACAUUAUGCAUUUAAUUACUAGGCCGCUGUCGUAACUCUCUGCUGAUCAACAAGGUUAUCAUUUGUUUGAUGAUUCUUAUAAAUCGACUAUUAUAUAAAAUUUAAAUUUUCUUAAUUUCUUUUUUUUCUUAUACAUAUAUAAUUUUUUUAUUGUGUCAAUAACUUUUCUUCGUUUAAAGUGGGUAUCUUUAAUAUCAAGUGAUAUCAAUGGGGUGCAUGAAUCUUUGAUUUAGUAUUAUUAUUAGGUGUAAAUUAAGGUAGAUUUAGUAUUAUUAUUAGGAUUAAAUUAAGAUAGAUUUAGUUUCAUCGCUGGACAUUGUGGGAUAAAUUUGUGGGGUAAAAAAUAUAAAAAAAAAAUGCUGUAAAGAUCAUUGUCAAGUUCUAUUGUAUAAUAAUUCAAAUAAUUAUUUCCUUUUAUGUAUUCAUAAUUCAUAUUUUUUUUAUAUUUCAGAUUUAUUUAAUUUUUAUAUUUAUUUAUAAUUUAUAUUUAUAUUUAUUAUAUUAUAUUAAUAUUUGUAUUUAUUAUUAUAUUUAUAUAUUUUAUAUUUUUUUUAAUUUGUUAAAGUUAAUAAUUAAUUUUAAUUUUUUUUUUUUUAGUUUUAGGUGAGUCUCGAUGCAUAGUCACCUCCUCGUUGGUGAGACCUGGUAAUUGAUAUUGAUUUUUGUAUUAAUUGGAUUAAUCUUUGAAAAUUUUCUAAAAAUUAUUCUUUAAAAACGAUACCAAACUAAGAAUUACGGAGUGUCUACAGCUCAAUUUAAAUUAUUAAAUUCUUUUUGGAUAUUUUGGAUAUUUGAUAUUUUGAUAUUUCGUCUAGAUUGAGCUAUAGGUAGUAUUAGGAUUUUUGAUAUUUUGCAAAAUAUCAAAAUCAAAUUUAUAUUUUUAUUUAUUUAUUUUACAUUUAAGAUUUUUAAUUUAUUUUUAUUUCAUAUAAUUGUUUUUAUAUUUAAUUCUUUUCAGAUUCUUUUUUUUCAGGUUCUUUUUUUCAGAUUUAAUUUAUUCUUACAUUAAAUUAUUUUUUACAUUUCAUGCAUAUUUAAUAUGUAAUAUAUAUAAUAUAUGUAAUAUUUGCAGUUCAAUUUAAACAUUCCAUUUAAUUAUCUUGAUCAAUUGUUGAUAUGCAUUGUUGAUAUAGUUGAUAUAUAUUGUUGAUAUGGAUAUAGUAUAAUAUGGACAUAUAGUAUAUAUAGACUGCAAAUACAAAUAAAAUCUGUACCAAGAUAUUAUCGUUUUUUAUUUUAUUCUUCAACAAUGUAAAUACUAAAUUUUUUGAUAUUGUUGAUAUGGAUAUAGUAUAAUGGACAUAUAGUAUAUAUAGACUGCAAGUACAAAUAAAAUCUAUACCAAGAUAUUCUCGUUUUUUAUUUUAUUCUUCAACAAUGUAAAUACUAAGUAAGUAUGAACAUAAAUUUUUUGAAGCAACUAAAAUAUCCCCGAUGCAAUUAAGUUGCAAGUUGUAUUUACUAUACGCAUUUCGUAUCAAAAUAUUCUCCCUAACUUAAAGCGAAAACAAAAUUAUUUUACUUAUUCCCAUAUGAUUUCUUUUUGCCAUUCCAUCACAAAUUCCCAUUUAUAUUUAAAGUAUUCGUUUAUUUCUUCUAGAAUAUAUUCCUUUUUAUUUAUUAUUUUAAGAUGUUUGCAAAUUUUUCGUCGCUUUUUCUAAAUCACUGUCAAUCACAAUAUUGCACUGUCAUGCAAUAGUGGCAGGACUUCCAUCGAUUUUCGUAAGUUUAUUGAUGUAAGUCGUAUGGGGGCGACAGAAAAAGUUGAUUUUUUAUCGAUCGUAAGUUCUUCUUCUAAUGCUUAUUAUUUUUCUGGUCUGUAUUUACUUGCUUUUUGACUUCUCUUUUUUUUUUAUUGAAAUUUUAUUUAUUAUAAAUGAUUUAGUAUAAAUGAUUUUGAAUUUUUCUUUUUUUCGCUUUAAGUUAGACGAGAAUAUUUUUGAUACGAAUAAUAUUAAUAAAAUUGUUAUGUAUUGUAAAUUAUAGGUUUAAGAUUUAGGUUGGACAACGUGGAAUUAAUUAGCGAGCGAAUAUAAAAAACUUUUGUAAAAAUCGUUGUAAAGAUCCAUUGUACAUUAAUUCAAAUAAUUAUGUCAUUUUAUAAUGUAUUUAUAAUUAAUAAAUAUUUCUUUUAUA